AUUAAAGUAGCAAAAAUAAUGCAUAGGAUUUAAGCUCCUAAGAUGAGAUUUAUAUCUCCUUUAAUA
rnacentral:tRNA from 1 species